rnacentral:tRNA from 1 species
GGUUGUGGCUCAGGGGUAUAGCACCUGGCUAGCAUUCAUUAGGCACUGGGUUUGAUUCCCAGAACCA